UCGAAAUAAGCUUUUGGUGCGUAUGGAACAUUUUUUAUAUAUUUUAUUUCAGUUCAUGAAAUGGGACCAACACUUUACAUGUUGGGUUUAUAUAUUUUUGUUCAGUAUUGGUAGGUCGUGAAUGGUCUCUCUCCAGUACAGUAGGUGGCAGUGUAUGCAGCUUAAUUUGGAUGCGCUCCGCUAAAGCAAUCCAAAAAAAGAAGUAUUUUUGUCCUCGUUUUAGGCGGCAAACGAGCAAAGUGGAGCUCCUUUUUUAAAACCUUACAUGUUGCUAUGUAUUGACUAAAGGAGAUGAUUGGCAUGGAUGGAAAUUACCGAAACGAAUGUGGUUCAGCAUAUCUCAACGAGUCCGGUGUCCUUGAAGUCAAGCGACGCAUGCUGACAAUAAAGUGGGUCGGCAUCUCAUCGUGUCCGAUGUCCUUGAUGAACUCGCAUGAUGGGGUGUCUUGAGGAAGUACCACUGAGGUGCCUUGUUGGACCUAGACUAUAACAGGGGGGUCUGUGAAGCCUUCCCUGGCAGUUGCAGGUGUGAGCAUGUAUACAGCAGUUUGAUGCUCUUGUAUGAUACUGCACACACAUGUCUUUAGAAAACAGAUGUAUCCCUUCCUUAUAUAUUUUAUGGUGGUUAAAUGAGGUUGGUUUAUUGUGCAACUCCUAGCUUUAUUUCCUCAUUGCAUGUGUCAUGCUGCGUAGGCUACGCCCACCAUUUUCAACAUCUUGCAUGAAGAUUUGUCAAUUACAUAAGGGAUAAUCAAGGGGCUAUGUGUUCUGUGGAAGGCGACGUGCUAGCGGAGUGGAACUUACCUCCCAGGGAGUUGAAUAAUUUUCCAGCGAACACAUAGAACCCCCGCGUUGGUUAUCCGUUUUGUACCAUGGCUAUAAUAUGGCACAUUUACCAGGAGAUGUGUUCCAAAUGUGUAAUGUUGUACUUGUUGACGAAAUUCAUGCUAAUGUUUUCAUCCACAUUGACUCCCCUUCACUCCCUGAAGGAGAGCUUUCCUUGUCCCAGAAAGCACCGCACGGCCCAUUGACGACACAUGGGCAACUUACACAAUGGCCGUUAAUACGAUUCCAAUGGAAUUUCCCCUUAUCCUCAAAAGUAUCUCUGACCAACCCAGCAGUCCUAUUUUGCUAUUUUGAAAAUGUUUUAAAUGUGUCUUUUACUUUCAAAAGCAGUUCAAACAGAGAACAUGGAAGAAUAAACUGUAGCCACUGAAUUUCCACCGUGCUGAUGUAUUGUGCAUUAUAGGGAAAUAAUGCAUGUUCUAGAAUGCCCUUCAAGCCAAUCCGUAACGAUGAUUUAACAAUGCCAUGGUAUAAAGUAGGGGGCAUGAGAGCUACUAAAAAAAUGAAGUGUCAUUUAUUUUUAUGGCUUUCAAAUGGGCCUGUUCUUUUUGAAUGUCUGCUGCAGCACAGUUUGCUAAACAAAGGCUACCCAAUUGAGACAACUAAUCAUAUUUUUGUCGGGUAAGCAUGCUAAUGUCAAUGUGGCGUUGAUUGGAUAGCAGCCGGGAGCUUUUUGUUUAUGACCGUCUGCGAUAGAACUCAUUAAAAAGCAUCUCUUUUCAGAAUUGUUGGAGAAAAAAAGUUUCCAACGCCAUCUGUUUGAACCCCCAGGAGGUGAUGCCCCUCUGUGCUCCUCUUCAGCCCAGUGGGUUCUGACUCGUCAGUUGAUGCACUUCCUCUCUUGUGUUAGGUUUUGUACCACUUCCUGGUUCCAACGCUUGUCCUGAUGGAGUGAAGGAGAAGAAUCAAACCAACCGUUGAUGUUUUGACUGAUGUAUAUUCAUAGAAAUAGAUUACAUGUAAUCUAUAGUGGUGUAUUGUCAUCAGGAGAACCAUUUGUCAAAGAUUCAGUGAAGUAUAUUAUCCACUUCCUCGAGGAGAAGGUAGCAAGCUAUAAGCAUGAGAAUGCUCUUGCAGGGGGCUCUGUAACGCCCAUAUCACAUUUGUAUGAAUGUAUGUCUGGAAUAUACUGUUCUCUUAGUGGCGUAAACUAAUGUGGCAUGAUGUCAGAACUAAUUUAGCCUUACAUUUGUCCAUGAUUAUCAAUAAAACUAGUAAACAAACUUGUA